rnacentral:rRNA from 1 species
CAACUUUCAACAACGGAUCUCUUGGCUCUCGCAUCGAUGAAGAACGCAGCGAAAUGCGAUAAGUAAUGUGAAUUGCAGAAUUCAGUGAAUCAUCGAAUCUUUGAACGCACCUUGCGCCCUUUGGUAUUCCGAAGGGCACACCUGUUUGAGUGUCGUGAAAUUCU